CUACGGGACGCACCAGCAAGGAAUAUUGGGCAAUGGGCGAAAGCCUGACCCAGCGACACCGCGUGGAGGAAGAAGGCCUUCGGGUUGUAAACUCCUUUUCCCGGGGAAGAAUAAUGACGGUACCCGGGGAAUAAGCCUCGGCUAACUACGUGCCAGCAGCCGCGGUAAUACGUAGGAGGCGAGCGUUAUCCGGAUUUACUGGGCGUAAAGCGGGCGUAGGUGGCCUGUCAAGUCGGAUGUGAAAUCUCCCGGCUUAACUGGGAGGGUGCAUCGGAAACUGAUGGGCUAGAGUACAGCAGAGGGAAGUGGAAUUCCCGGUGUAGUGGUGAAAUGCGUAGAUAUCGGGAGGAACACUAGUGGCGAAGGCGGCUUCCUGGGCUGUUACUGACACUGAGGUCCGAAGGCGUGGGGAGCAAACAGGAUUAGAUACCCCCGUAGUC
rnacentral:rRNA from 1 species